CGGUAUAUUGACCGUGCGAAGGUAGCAUAAUCAUUAGUCUUUUAAUUGGAGGCUGGAAUGAAUGGUUUUACAAGAAGUUUACUGUCUUUAAAUUAAUAUUUGAAUUUAACUUUUAAGUGAAAAGGCUUAAAUGAUUAAAAGGGACGAUAAGACCCUAUAAAACUUUACAUGGGAGAUAUUUAAAGAAAUUAUUUAUGUUUAAAUUUGAGAAGUAUAAAAAAGUGUUUUGUUGGGGCGACAAAAAUAAAAUAUAGGUUUGUAACUGUUUAAAAUUUAAAAAUCAAAUAAUUUUUGAAAAGAAGAUGUGGUCCUUAAAAAAGAGUAAAAGAGUAAGUUACUUUAGGGAUAACAGCGUUAUUUUUUUGGAGAGUUCUUAUCAAUAAAAAAGAUUGCGACCUCGAUGUUGAAUUAAAAUUUCUUUAUAAUGCAGAGG
rnacentral:rRNA from 1 species